AACAAAUAAUUCUUCUUACAUUUUGACGCAAAAGUAGACUUCCUGUACAUGUUGAUGAUGUACUUAAGAACUCUUUGGGUGGUAAAAAAAAUUAAUCUUCACAAUCUACGAACAAUAUAUUUGUGAAAAAAACGUGUCUCUUACUCGUCGUCGACGCCAAAAGUUUCCUUUUCUUCUCUCGGCCGAGUGACUGAUGUGUCCCAGAAUGACGCACACCAGAAGCAAUUCAAAGAGUCAGCCUCGAAUACGGAGGAUAAAAAAUCUUCUUUCUUGGAGUCCGACUAAGAACUAGACACAACCGAAAGAAAGUCAAACGCCGUGGCUCGUGGUCUUCAGAUAUUAAGGCUUACCCGCAAACCGGGAUACCUUGCUUCCUUACAUGGAAACAAAUAUAUAUCACACGAGACACGGGGGCAAGGAACUGCAGAGGAUCAACCUACCCCCCAUCAGCAAACCCCAGAGGGGUCCAAUCGCCGUAUUUAUAUAUUCCCUGCCCCGUCCAAACCAGCCGCUUUCAGCAAUUUCAUCCGUAAUUUGAUCAAGAAAUGCUGAGGUUCUUCACUCCGCGAUAUGAUCAAUAAGUAAUUUCUCAUUUAAAUAUCAAUAUAUGGUCACAC